GAUCUCCUCAUGCGUUGUCUUUACGCAUCUAGUGUUCAAAUACAACAUUACUAACCUAUAACUCCGCUCAACUGGGAAAAGAGAAGAAGAAAGAAGAAGAGAAUCCUCCAGGAGCACAGCGUUCCUAAUCAUGAGGAACUAUAGGCCCAGUCACACACCUGGAGUUCCUAGGCAUCACAUCAAGCUCAUGGUAUUAACGUUCCUCUAACCAAACUGCGUGCAUCCACAUAAACGUCUUCAACGACAGUUGCUCUUCCUCAUCGGGCAACCGUACUUUACAUGCGGAUAUUCUUCGGCACGCCAUCAUCUCCCGUUCUGGACGUGGCAUCCGCCGGCCUCACGACGACCGCGUUUUCCCCGACUUAAGGACGUGCACCGCACAUCCUCCGUUUUUGGGGGGGACAUUGACAUGAGAUCAUCCGCAUAGCGGCACACUCAGAUUUCCACUAUUGCUACACAUUUAUUAUCACACUCGCUGGAUCUAACACCUCGAAAAGAAGAAGUCAAUCUAAAAAGCAUCCGGGGCCUCUUAGCAGGAGUGCAGUUUAACGUUCGCUGUUCCGAUCCCGGCUUUCCCAGCCUGUUCGCAAACCAGUCAGUCAAACUCAUCCUCAAAGGUCUCAUCAAAACUUUUCCCCCCCGUCUUAGACCGGAGACGCCCUAUUACACUCUCCACUUACGCCUCAUGCUCUCAAAACUUAGAAGUGGGUUAUUCUCCCCUUAUAUCGAUUCACUACUCGACGCUCUAUUUCUCCUAGCUUUUUAGGCCUUUCUUAGACCAGGUGAAUUUACCACAGCUUCCCUUACAUUUGAUUCCAAUCGAGACGUCAGCUUUUCUGACAUAUCCUUUCACGCUAGCCACUUUAGCUUAUAUCUUAAACACUCCAAAUGCGGCGGCGCCGGCUCUGUCAUCGCCGCCCGCAUCGACUCCCAGUUCUGCCCUUAUAAAUCCAUGAUCAAAUUCCUACAGCUUAGACCUACCUCUAAUCCUCUCUGACCAUUAUUCCUUAUCUCAGGGAAUUUUCCUUUAACUCAACGACAGUUCAAUAUCUAUUUAAAACAAGUCCUCAUUAAAUCCGGGUUAUCACCCCUUCUAUACACGGGGCAUUCCUUUAGAAUAGGCGCAGCUACUUCCGCUGCUAAUCAAGGUGUCUCAUCCUCAUCCCUGCAACAACUCGGACGGUGGUCCUCCUCCGCUUUCUCAUCCUACAUUCGCCCUGACCUCAAUGCCGUGCUGGCUAUCCAAAGGUCUCUCCAACCUUAAAUUGAUUUCCACUGCAUCCCACAAGCUGUCUUCCAGGUGUCAACGCGCAACCCUCCUCCAC